rnacentral:rRNA from 1 species
CCUACGGGGGGCAGCAGUGAGGAAUAUUGGUCAAUGGACGCAAGUCUGAACCAGCCAUGCCGCGUGCAGGAAGACGGCUCUAUGAGUUGUAAACUGCUUUUGUACGAGGGUAAACGCAGAUACGCGUAUCUGUCUGAAAGUAUCGUAUGAAUAAGGAUCGGCUAACUCCGUGCCAGCAGCCGCGGUAAUACGGAGGAUCCAAGCGUUAUCCGGAUUUAUUGGGUUUAAAGGGAGCGUAGGUGGUCGGAUAAGUUAGUGGUGAAAUCUCGAGGCUCAACUUCAGAAUUGCCUUUGAUACUGGUCGUCUAGAGUACAGUUGCGGUAGGCGGAAUGCGUGGUGUAGCGGUGAAAUGCUUAGAGAUCACACAGAACACCGAUUGCGAAGGCAGCUUACCAAGCUACGACUGACAUUGAUGCACGAAAGCGUGGGUAGCAAACAGGAUUAGAUACCCGGGUAGUC